rnacentral:rRNA from 1 species
AGCGAACGCUGGCGGCAGGCCUAACACAUGCAAGUCGAACGAAGUCUUCGGACUUAGUGGCGGACGGGUGAGUAACACGUGGGAACGUGCCCUUUGGUUCGGAACAACUCAGGGAAACUUGAGCUAAUACCGGAUGUGCCCUUCGGGGGAAAGAUUUAUCGCCAUUGGAGCGGCCCGCGUCUGAUUAGCUAGUUGGUGAGGUAAAGGCUCACCAAGGCGACGAUCAGUAGCUGGUCUGAGAGGAUGAUCAGCCACAUUGGGACUGAGACACGGCCCAAACUCCUACGGGAGGCAGCAGUGGGGAAUCUUGCGCAAUGGGCGAAAGCCUGACGCAGCCAUGCCGCGUGAAUGAUGAAGGUCUUAGGAUUGUAAAAUUCUUUCACCGGGGACGAUAAUGACGGUACCCGGAGAAGAAGCCCCGGCUAACUUCGUGCCAGCCGCCGCCGUAAUAC